rnacentral:tRNA from 1 species
GGUCCCAUAGCUUAGCUUGGUUCGAGCGUCCGGCUGAUAACCGGAAGGUCUUGUGUUCAAAUCACAAUGGGACCACCA